UCCCAGGUGGCUCAGUGGGUAAAGAACCUGCCUGCAAUGCAGGAGACGCUGGGGGUAUAGGUUCAAUUCCUGCAUUGGGAA
rfam:Ovis aries breed Texel chromosome 12, whole genome shotgun sequence.